GAUGAACGCUGGCGGCGUGCCUAAUACAUGCAAGUCGAGCGAACAGAUGAGAAGCUUGCUCCUCUGACGUUAGCGGCGGACGGGUGAGUAACACGUGUAUAACCUACCUAUAAGACUGGGAUAACUGCGGGAAACCGUAUCUAAUACCGGAUAAUAUAUUGAACCGCAUGGUUCAGUAGUGAAAGACGGUUUUGGUGUGACUUAUCGAUGGAUCCGCGCUUCAUUAGCUAGUUGGUAAGGUAACGGCUUACCAAGGCGACGUUGCCUAGCCGACCUGAGAGGGUGAUCGGCCCCAAGAGAACUGAGACCCGGUCCAGACUCCUACGAGAGGCAGCAGUAGGGCAUCUUGCGCAAUGGGCGAAUGCCUGACGGAGCAACGAAGCGUGAGUCAUGAAGGUCUUCGGAUCGUAAACCUCUUUUAUUUGGGAAGCACAAAUCUGUAAGUACCUAUGCACGUUUUGACGGUACCUAAUCAGAAAGCCACGGCUAACUACGUG
rnacentral:rRNA from 1 species